GCUCAGUCUUCAGCAAGACACAGGAAACGGCAUUUAAGCUUCUUACAAACUGGUACUGCACCCCGACCACACUCCACACUAUCAAUCCGGAACACUCAGAACUCUGCUGGAGAUGCAACACUGACAUAGGCACCACUCUCCACCUAUGGUGGGACUGUGAGGCUAUCCGACCCUUCUGGAAAGGCAUACACGGUCUCCUCCAAACAUUUUCUGACGCACCACCACCCUUCCUACCCGAGGCCAUGCUCCUACACAACAUGAAGACCCCCAGAUCACGAUACAAGAAAUCUCUAACCAUACGAAUGUUAAACGUAGCCAAACAGGUGCUCCCACAAUUCUGGAAGCAGACGGUUACACCCCCACUGAUGACAUGGUUCGCCCAAAUGGAAGAGCUUAGGGCAGUGGAAGAACUCAAUAUGUGCGCCACUAACGCCUCCGACAAAUAUCUAGAAAUCUGGUCACACUGGCUCCUGACGACCUCCAAAGCAGAUUUCGCACACAGACUCAGAUACGAGGUCCAAGUGACUGCAGACGAAGACAUAUCCCGACAGCAACCCGACCCCCCACAGACAGAACCCCCACACUACACACACGCCCCUAUAGAUCGUAUGACCCGACGACAAUAACCUACUAUAACCUAGGCUCCUGUACCACACGACGGACAACAGGGGAGGGAGAUGCGUUUCCCGACCUCUUAGACUGCUGCAUUGCACAGAAACUUGCGAGUCACAAUCGCCUCUGAACCUACCACAAAGGCAACUCUAUCAUGACUUUACCUACCACUUAAGGGCCUGUGAGCCACAGUCACAAAAAUCAUUUACCGCACCAGGUGAAAACACUACCUAAUGUUUAUGUUUCAUGGGACCUGCGAGUCCAACAAGUAACUGUUACUGGCGCUACACUGUGACCUGCGCGUCAUCAAUUUUUGUUUGCAUGUUCAACACCAUCAUCCCUUCAAUUAUCUGAAUGUGUUAGUCUUUCAACCAGUUUUAUGGGACCUGCGUGUCCACGCUGUAUACUUGCACUGAAAAAGUGAAGAUACCCAAUAAAAAUUAUAUUUACAAAAAAAAAAAA